AACAUUUUAUUUAAUAUUGUAUGGAGACUGUACAGUUUGCUCGAUGUUUUCAAAAUAACCAGAUGAAUAAGUAAUUACGCACAACACUAACGCAUGCUUGGUUCCAGUCAAUGUUAUCCUUGUAAACGGCUGCAAUGGUUUUAACAAAAACGACACUAAACAUUGUUCUUAAAUAUUUAUAUCGGUAAUGUUUUUUCAUCCUCGUGCUGUCGACAUUUUUUUCCAUGCAUCUUUUCCCCCUUUAUUGUCUUUUGCACCUUCGUUUCCAUGCAAUUCCUCGUACUGAAUGUGUGGCAGAUACGGUGCCAAAUAAACCAAUUUUGAAGUGGUGAAGUUGUCUUACUCUUACCGGCUACAAAACCAUUUCAAAUUAACAAUUUCUUAUAUGUAUCGUCCUCGCGGAUGCACGAGAAGCUUGUCAAUAUUACUUUUACGGUCUAAUCCUUUUUGAGAUAUAGAAACCACUGUUGCUCUUUAAGCUCCUGAUCUAGAUACAUUUUUAAUCAUUCUGAUUCAUCCCCAUCGAUUCUAACGAAGCCAGCAGCAUUUUACUUUAUAUAAAAAGAAAGUACGACUUUAUAAAAUGUAAUGUGAUGCGGUCCGACUGUCCCUGAGCCGCUGCAGUGUAUUAAUAGCUUGUAGUGCAAGCCGCCCUGCCUACAUAUACUCACGCCGGACGACACCGACCACCGUCCCUCCUCCCCCCAACAGCUAUCCUCCUCCACCUCCACCUCCUCCACCACCACGGUCUUUUCCUCUUGCCUUAACUUUGGUUCUGAAGGAACAUUACGUUAUUUUCAGUACGUAGUCUACGGAAGAUGUUCAGUAAUAACUGUGGGUGGUUCGGUUUAAUCUUUCGCCUGUCCGGCUUAAUGAAGUACAGGAAACUUCGGGAAGCCACUGUAUUGAAUAUGAAUUGCUGAGUGUGGGAGAUCGCUUUGGUCCUGGAGUGUUUCGCAGCGUCGUUGACUUCGGAUGACAAAUAAGAAACGGCUUAGAGUAUGGUCUCUAAUCGCCUGUACACUACAAGUGGGUUACUAAGUAUGGAGCCAGAACACUGUACGCAGUGCUGCGACCUCCGCCCACGUAACCCAUGUGCAUUGUGGACUUCGAUUAAAUACAUCAGAGGUUUAUGGCUUAGCUGUUAAACAGUGAACCUGGUUCAUCAGGAUGAAUCCUAAAGGAAAGAGCGGCAGUGAUGCAACCAUUUUCACCUGGGAGAGUUUUCCAUUCACGCUGGGACUGGACUAAUUAACCUGUCUGCAUGAUCCCACAGGAGAAAACUGGACCCAUGCUAAGGCUACUCUUCGAAUAAUAUAAAGACACGACCUGCAUUGUGGUCAAAUCAGCGAAUCCUGUCCCGCAUGAGGAAAGGAGAGAGAUGAGUCGUUGAAGUGUUGCUGAGAAACACGGACGAGAUCGACGAUUACACAGUUGGAAAUAUUUUGAUCUGUGGAAGCUGUAUCCUGCCACCGUCUUUAUCUCUUGGCAAAAUACACUGUGCACCAGUCUUUGAAAUAUAUUGGAUGAUUAAGUUAA